ACCUGACCUGUGCUUAUGCUGUUAUUCAGAGCUAUGCUUAAACACGGUUUUCUAUAAUGAGAAGCAACCGCUCUACUCGUGAGGAAGGCAAAGAUGAUGUCUGUCCAGUAGUUCCUCUGUUCUCAGUUGCUUUUUACUUGAAGCCUGGCUUCUGGCCUGAACCAGAGAAGGAUCCAACAUUCACGCUGCAUGAGCUGCGGUGGGAACUGUGUGCUUUAGAGAGACUGAGGAAAUGGAUAAUUGAGGAUCAAGCUACUCUACAGAUAGUGUCCUCACUGCAGUCCCACUGGACCCUACUCAAAAGAGCUUUACCAGGGUCAACACGAGGGCAUUACGGGCCCGUUUGUCUUCUGCUCUUGUCUCCAGAGACAGCCUUUGUCCUCAGUGCUCUUCCACACCCCGUCAAAAUGGUUUUUCAGCCUCGUUUUGUCGUCUUGAACCUUCGCACAGGAGAAAUGCAGAUAUGCGUUGAAAGGGCUUAAUCGCUCCAUAGUCCCAGGGAAUGUAGAAGAACUGUUAUGUCCCGGCCUGAACUGAUGAUUGAGCACCUGGUGAAGAGGGUGGCUGGCCCAGGAAGCACAGUGCAAGCAAUCCACCUGUGCCUCCCACAUGACCAGAAGCUCAUUUAAGGGCUAGCUUCCAAAGGGAGAACGUUUCCUGGAUGAAGGUCACUUCUUGAGAAGGUAUGCUCUGUAGCUGGAGGACUGUUGUUAUCAGUUGGGUGGCUACUUUCCUGAAGGAAAAACAGGGAGGAAGAGCUGUGGGGGCACCUUGCAGGCAAGAUGUGAAAAUGACUUUGAUUGAGCCCCUGCUGCUUCUUUUCAGGACACAAAUGAGCUGGGCAUGCUUCCAGUGGGCUGGAACAUAGAUGUUUUAUUAGCUCAACUUCUCUUUCAGAGUCUUCUAGGUCAGUCCAGCUAUUUGCUGGUGAUAUGAUGCGAGCAGCACAAGUUCUGGGCUAGCAGCUGCAUCCAGCUCACAAUCCUCAGAUGGCUACACAGUCUAUCUGGAGAUGUUUCAUAUCCCAAUCCAACUCACUCAGCUCUGGUGCUCUUCAAAUCCCUACUGAACUCUGAGGGUUCUUGAUCAAGAAAAUGUCCUUGGCUGAAAGACAAAAGGCAGCAAAUUAUCAAAACCUGUUGUGCAUCCUUAAAGAGAAAUUUUGGUGAGAAGUGAUCUUGCGGGGCUGCAGUAAAUACCCAAAAGCAUUACUAAAAAUGUUAAAGCUUGCCUCAUUUUUCAGGCAAGGGUAAAGAUUUUUACCUCAAGGCUAUGUUCUCUGACAUUUGGUUUGCUUUAUUAAUUCUGCUUGAUUUAUAUACUUUCUUUUAGGUAUCUUUGUUUAGCAUUUAUGUUCUUUCUUGAAUAGUAUUUUAUGGGUAGAAAAGACCCUAUCACUAUAUUUUAAUAGACUCUUCAUAAGUUAUUUUGUUGUGGAUGAAACAGCAUAGUGCUGUAAUUAGUUAAGUAUUGUGUCAAAGCUUUCUGUAUGAUAGCUGGAUUAAUUAAUAAGUAAAUUUUCAGAGCAAGAAGUGAGACUAUCUUAAAUUAAUUUAAUUAGUGUAAUCCCAGUGGCUGCUUGUCUUAUUUUAUAUGCAUUCCUUCUGCUUUAAAUUAUUUUUCAAAUUCCAGAGAAACAGAGAAUAAAU
ensembl:lncRNA